CCCUUAGAUGUUCUGGGCUGCACGCGCGCUACACUGAUGCGUUCAACGAGUCUAAAACCUGCUCUGAUAGGGGUGGGUAAUCUUUUGAAUGUGCAUCGUGAUUGGGAUAGAUGAUUGCAAUUUUUCAUCUUCAACGAGGAAUGCCUAGUAAACGCAAGUCAUCAGCUUGCAUUGAUUACGUCCCUGCCCUUUGUACACACCGCCCGUCGCUCCUACCGAUUGAAUGAUCCGAUGAAUAUCAUGGAUUGAGGAUGCAAGUAGGUUCGCCUAUCUUCAUCUUCGAGAAGUGAAGUAAAUCUUAUCAUUUAGAGGAAGGAGAAGUCGUAACA
rnacentral:rRNA from 1 species